rnacentral:rRNA from 1 species
CACCGGCUAAGGUCCCAAAGUGCGUGUUAAGUGGAAAAGGAUGUGGGAAUUCGAAGACAACUAGGAUGUUGGCUCAGAAGCAGCCAUACAUUCAAAGAGUGCGUAACAGCUCACUAGUCGAGAGUUCCUGCGCCGAAAAUGUCCGGGGCUGAAACACGACACCGAAGCCGUGGACUCGCAAUGCGAGUGGUAGAGGAGCAUUCUUAAAACCGACGAAGCUGUACCGGAAGGAGCAGUGGAGGGAUAAGAAGAGAGAAUGCCGGAAUGAGUAGCGAGAGAAAGGUGGGAAUCCUUUCGGCCGAAUAUCUAAGGUUUCCAGAGUAAAGCUGAUCUGCUCUGGGUAAGUCGGGGCCUAAGCACAGGUCGCAAGACGUAAGCGAUGGAUAACAGGUUUAGAUUCCUGUACCACGCAUUAUCAGAACUGUAGGGACGCAUGUGGAAAGCACG